rnacentral:rRNA from 1 species
AGCAGCCGCGGUAAUUCCAGCUCCAAUAGCGUAUAUUAAAGUUGUUGCAGUUAAAAAGCUCGUAGUUGAAUUUCGGGAUCAAUACGUCGGUCGUGCCUUCGGUACGUACUGGCGUCAUUGGUUUCUCCCUUCUGACGAACCAUGAUGUCAUUAAUUUGGUGUUAUGGGAAGUUAGGACUGUUACUUUGAAAAAUUAGAGUGUUUAAAGCAGGCAUUAGCUUGAAUACAUUGGCAUGGAAUAAUGAAAUAGGACGUUCGAACCUAUUUUGUUGGUUUCUAGGAUCAACGUAAUGAUUAAUAGGGAUAGUUGGGGGCAUUAGUAUUCAAUUGUCAGAGGUGAAAUUCUUGGAUUUAUUGAAGACUAACUACUGCGAAAGCAUUUGCCAAGGAUGUUUUCAUUAAUCAAGAACGAAAGUUAGGGGAUCGAAGACGAUCAGAUACCGUCGUAGUCUUAACCAUAAACCUAUGCCGACUAGGGAUCGGAUGAUGUUAAUUUUUAAUGACUCAU